UAGCCCUUCAGAGGGGGACGAACAGUUGGAAACGACUGCUAAUACCGCAUACGAUCCAAUCUCGGCAUCGAGGAUGGAUGAAAGGUGGCCUCUAUUUAUAAGCUAUCACUGAAGGAGGGGAUUGCGUCUGAUUAGCUAGUUGGAGGGGUAACGGCCCACCAAGGCAAUGAUCAGUAGCCGGUCUGAGAGGAUGAACGGCCACAUUGGGACUGAGACACGGCCCAGACUCCUACGGGAGGCAGCAUG
rnacentral:rRNA from 1 species